UGGUCAGUGAUGAAAGUCCACUGCGCAAUCUGAGUGAAAUGAUGGAGAUGUGCUGUUUGUCUCUUCUGAGGCCA
rnacentral:snoRNA from 1 species